UACGUAGGUGGCAAGCGUUAUCCGGAUUUACUGGGUGUAAAGGGCGUGUAGGCGGGAAAGCAAGUCAGAUGUGAAAACCAUGGGCUCAACCUGUGGCCUGCAUUUGAAACUGUUUUUCUUGAGUACUGGAGAGGAGAGUGGAAUUCCAUGUGUAGCGGUGAAAUGCGUAGAUAUAUGGAGGAACACCGGUGGCGAAAGCGGCUCUCUGGCCUGUAACUGACACUGAGGCUCGAAAGCGUGGGGAGCAAACAGG
rnacentral:rRNA from 1 species